rnacentral:rRNA from 1 species
UACGUAGGUGGCAAGCGUUGUCCGGAUUUAUUGGGCGUAAAGCGCGUGUAGGCGGCCAGGUAGGUCGGCUGUGAAAACUCGAGGCUCAACCUCGAGCUGUCGGCCGAAACCAUCUGGCUAGAGUCCGGAAGAGGAGAGUGGAAUUCCCGGUGUAGCGGUGAAAUGCGCAGAUAUCGGGAAGAACACCCGUGGCGAAGGCGGCUCUCUGGGACGGUACUGACGCUGAGACGCGAAAGCGUGGGGAGCGAACAGG